rnacentral:tRNA from 1 species
CGGGUGUAGUUCAAUGGUAGAACACAAGCUUCCCAAGCUUGUAGCGUGGGUUCGAUUCCCAUCGCCC